rnacentral:tRNA from 1 species
GCCGGCGUGGCUCAGUGGUAGAGCGAGAUAUUGGUAAUAUCUAGGUCAUGAGUUCGAUUCUCAUCGCUGGCU